rnacentral:sRNA from 1 species
AUUUAGCCCCGAUUGAAGCAAUUGUUUGAGCUCUUUUUUGUUUUUUUCAAACAAAAAAAGCGAGUGCGGAAAGCGGGAAAUAGC